rnacentral:rRNA from 1 species
UACGGAGGGUGCAAGCGUUGCUCGGAAUCACUGGGCGUAAAGGGCGUGUAGGCGGUUUCGUAUGUCUGGCGUGAAAGCCCCGGGCUCAACCCGGGAAGUGCGUUGGAAACUGCGAGAUUAGAGUCUCGGAGAGGAAGGUGGAAUUCCAGGUGUAGCGGUGAAAUGCGUAGAUAUCUGGAAGAACACCGGUGGCGAAGGCGGCCUUCUGGACGAUGACUGACGCUGAGACGCGAAAGCGUGGGGAGCAAACAGG